GGUGGGGGUGGGGUGGGGUGGGGUGGGGUGGGCGGAAGGAAGGAGGCGCUGAGACGCGCGGGAGUCAGUCGGCCGGUACCGCGAGGAGUGGCUAGAGGAGUUGGAGCUGGAGUGGCUGAGGUGCCUCUUCUAGUAGCGGCUCAUGUAUACCUAGCCGCCUAGACCGUACCUAGAGUCCUCGUUUCGGUCCUGGGAGGGGCCGGGCCAGUGGCUGGGGUCGUUCGACGGGUUCACCUUGAUGCUGCCGAGGUCGUGGCCGGUCCGGGGGCCGCUCCUGUCGCUCCAGUAGGACAUGGGUGUCCGGUAGAAGUUCCUGGGCAAGUCCUUCCCGUUGUUGUAGGAACAGUACACGCUAACGAUGUGGGGUCGACCUCACGGUUAGGGGUGGUUGUUCUCUAUGUUGCGACGGUUCUAGAAAUCGUUGGGACUACAACGGUUCCUCCUCGGUACCAUGCCAUAGCUCGUCCUCAUGUGGGAGGAUGUCUUCCUGUAGUUGACCGGAGAGCCGACCGGACAACCACCUAAGGGACCAGGAGUCCCAGGAAUGAUGACAUCAUAACCACGACUGUUCAGCAAACCCGCACUGUAUCAACUGAGGGUGAUGUUCCGGACGGAGAAACGGCCGCAGUUGUAGUCACCGUAGUUGCCGCUCCAGUACGGGCCUGUCACCCUCAAGGUUCAACCGGGCUGACAGCCGUAGAGACGACCACUGGUUCACACCCAACGAGCGAUGGAAGAACUCUCCUAGUGACUCUAGCGGCCUCAACAGCAGUGUAAACUGGGGUUCGGGUAGGGUCCGCUGACCUUGCCACGACCACGAGUGUGUUUGAUGUCAUGGCUCAGCUACUCCUUCCUGCCGCCCAAGUUCCAGUAGCACCUGCGACAGCUCUUCGAGUUCGACUUCGUGUUCCUCGUGUAGCGGCGGAUGCCGCUCCCGUUGCUCGCGGCAGAGUGGCCGUUCGUGCUUUGGCGGCUGUAGUUGUGGAAGUCGACCCCACAGCGCUUGGCACCGCGCAGCCACGCGCACCCUGCCCUCUGCCUCGUCUUGCCGUUCCCGAUGAAGCUCCUGGCGGCCGGCCGCAGGUUGUACCUGGGGAUGCACCAGUGGAGGUACUAGCGGCUCUGGUGGUAGGACACCUUCGGGACUUCGGCUCGUCGCGGCUGGCGGCACGCUACUAGUCACUACCCAACCCAAACCACCACCGGUGACCUCCUAAACCUGCUUUAAGAAGGUUCUAUAAAGGCAAAGGCAAACCAACGUAUGAUGCGCAUCAGGCGAAUCCAUCCAGUGUAGCAGCAGCAGCAGACAGUAGUCCCACAGACCAGAGAGAAGAGCAGAAACCCACCCACCCACCCACCACCGAUCUCCGCACAGUUUGUGUGUUCUGAUGAUAACUAACAAAAGGGAACGGCAGACCCACGGGACCAGAGCACAUUAGUAGUUAACUAUACCAUUAUUUUACCAGGCAUGGCGACGGCACCAUGGUGCGUGCGGCGAACAGAGUACGAUGCCUACCUGCCUACCAUAAUCACGAGUA
rnacentral:rRNA from 1 species